rnacentral:lncRNA from 1 species
UUGAGCGGAAGUGGGCGUUGCUACAUUGUGCAAAAGGUCUGAAUACUAAACGGUGUGGAUCAUUUAGAUAAAGAGGAGUGACUAUGUAUGUUAUGCCAGACUGAAGCUGUAUAUACAGAGGUCUCUGAGUCUGGGACUGGCAGUUGCUCCAUGGACCAUCUCGGCUUGUUACUUUGUAAUUAAGUCUGUAAUGAACUCACAAGCUCCGGUAUCUGAGAUAUUAUUGAACCAAUAUUUAUUCGACACAACGCGUCCAUGCACUAUGAUGUAUACAGAAAUGGUUUAAUUCUGAAAUACUACAAGGCAGUAGGCGACACUGAUGAGACAAGGAGAAUGCAGACCUAUACCUGGACCCAAAGUGGACUGGAUCGAUCCGUCGCUGGACAAUCAUCAAGUCCCCAAGUUACCAGUGGUCAGAUGAGUGAGAUUCCUUGCAGCUAUUCUCGUCAAUAUGGGCCAGUCAGACCAGCUGUCCUGUAUAUAGAAGGUGGUCGAUGCCUACCACACAGCGGACAAGUAACCAGUGGAGGUUACUGGAGUGGACCGAACCUGAAUCAACAGGCUUCAAUGGUGUACAUAAACUCAUCUCAGCAUUCACCCACCAAAGAGCAAGUUCUAACGGGUACUAGUCCCCUUUUGACAUCACUCUGGACUAACAAUGCAGCGGCUGCUCAAUCAACUGGUGUUACAUCACAAAGUGGAAACCGUCACACCUUGCCCGGAAGGGUUAACAGUGCAGCUCAGCCCACUUUUCAGCAGGGACAGAGGUUUUUGGGUGUUAAAAAAAACAAUCCACAGAGGCUCGUAAAGGAUGGUCAGGGUCCAACCAUUCACUGCCCCCCUCAUAUUAAUGCACCACUGAAUACAAAUGUUAUGUAUCAUCUAAGCCCAGUGAGUGGCAGUCAGCAGCUUGUACUUGGCAGACAAGAGGGGGCCUCCAGUGGUACCUCUGCUUCUCUUGCAAUGGGUAGGAGCCCCAACCAUGUAAAUCAUAAAUUGACUGUAGUGAGUGGGCAGGAUUCAAGAAGGAUAGCAGUUCAAGCUCCUCAUCAGGGAAACCCACAAACACCAAACUCUUUGCAAAGUGGACAGGAGACAACAUAUAACCAACUGUUGUAUUUACUUCAAAAUCAGAACAAUGACAGCAGGGCUGAGAUGAACAGGGUGCACCAACAUGGAGCACCUGUCCACACUGGCUCAUCAAACCACAGUCAAAUGUAUCCCUCUCAACUUCUCACUGGCAGCAACAACCAGGUCAAUGUAUCAAAUGCUACAGUGGGGCAGUCAAUGCCAAUGCAUAACAUUAGCCAGAAUCCUCAGUACAAUGUUAUGUAUAACCCUCCUUUUAAUAAUUCUCCAAGACAUGUCCCCAUCUGCCCUAAAAGCUUUCCCAUCCCACCACAACAGAACAGACUCCCAUCUUAUUGUGCAAAUAAUAACAGUCAGGCAGGGCCCAUUGGAAAUAAUGCACACUAUGCCUCUCAUCCUAGGCUCCAUAUCCAAGGCACAUGCCCUACCCUACAUUACAAGCCAGACUGCACCAAUGUUCUGGUAGGCAACGCUGGACCAUCUUCAUCUGUGCCAAACUAUAGUAUACAGCCCUCAGUCCAGCACAACCGUGAGACCGCGCCUCCACCAUACCCAGUCCAGCACAAGCGUAAGUCCGCGCCUCCACCAUACCCAGGCCAGCACUCCCAUGGACCCGUGCUGAACAAGACGGAACAUGUGGUUGGGGCAGGAGCGCAUUUUCUGCAACACGUGCCUAACCAAGGUGCAGCCCCUACCCUACAUUACAAGCCAAAAAACACCUAUGUUCAGUUAUCCAACACUGGACCAUCUUCAUCUGUGCCAAACCAUGGUAUGCUGUCUUCAGGCCAGCAAAACUGUGUCAAAAAUGUGAGCAACCCUGGGGAAGAAUCUUGUGACCAAAGUCCAUCACAAGCCCAAACAACCCUUAUUCUAUCUGCUUCUUUGACAAAUGAAUCUGAACAAGAGGUCCCCAAGAUCAGACUAGAAUCAGGGGCUGAUAAAACAUUGACCAAGGGUUCAGAAACUUCUGAUGUUGAAAUGGCCAAGAUAUAUUCAUGUUUUAAGCCUCAACGGUCAUUAUCAAACGGGUUAUGUGCAGAGAAAUUUGAUUCUCAACCAUUACCUAAUGUGGAAUGUCAAGCCACUCAGAGAAAAGAGUUAGCUGACACAGAAAUGACCACUCAUGUGCAUGUUAACCAAUUGAGUGAGGAAACGAAUGAAAAAGUCGAUUCCGAUGAGGACAUUUUUGAAUUGUCCUCCAUUCCUGUAAUCAAAUGGACCCUUGGUAAAUUGAAGGAGUUGGUAGAUACUGUGCAAAGUCAAAAAUGCACUGCCACACCAGUUGAAAGCAAAAUACUAAGCCUCUAUUGGGACGGAGAUGGGCCAAAGCUUAUGGAUGCUGCAAGAUCUGGUAUGUUACAAAAUAUAAUGGAAGAGGUUAGAUCUGUGUGUGGCGACGAUGACGAUAUGUCAUCACAGUCUGUCAUAUUUUCACAAGCCAGGCGCAAAAACUGGGGUCAAGUUGAAGAGAAAUGUGCCAUUCUUAAACAUGAUUCUGUUCACCCCGAGUUCCCAGCGCAAGAGUCAUCGUGGUUGAACACAAAUAAGCAGCUUGAUGACAUAGACAAGGAGUUUGGAUUCCCAUGGUCACUAAGAUAUGACCAAAAGACUCUUCAUAGAGGAGAUGAACAAACAAAACUGAUUUGUACCGAAAAUGAAAAAUCUGCGGACUCUGCCAAUGACAUGCAGACUGAGGUGGCUCAGACGAAGAGACCAACACCCUCUGAUUCUGAUGCUAAAGAAAUUCAAGGGUCAGGUUUGGUACACGGUUCCACCCAGACCCUCUCACUGGUUAAGAGAGAGGCAGGUAUCAUUUUUAGUGACCCAUUUUCCUCCCUGGAGAUCAACGUGCUGACACCAGAAGAAGCUUUGAUGUUUUUCAGUGGGCAGCUACCACAAGAUAAAGUGAAUGAAGAAGACCUGUUGGAAUUGCCAAUGGAAAUGGACGCGGAGCUGAUUGAGUUGAAAGAUUACUCAGUGGAGGAUAAGUCAUCUGAGAGGGUAGAUGUGAAGUUGACUGAUUUAAAACUCGAAAACAAAGGGGAUGCCCAAUCAGAAGAUUACUGUUGCCUCUCUCGUUGGAUGGCAGUGUUCAGUGGGUCCACCAAUUCUUCGUCCUGCAAAUGCCAAUACGAGACUAAAUUGGGUUCAGCAAAGGCCACUGUGAAUGCGACGCCGUUGGUUGAGGUAACAUUGUCUGUUGAACCCAACACAACAAAAGCAGAACAAAGGGAAUGCCUGCAAUUGUCUAAAUCAAAUGGCACAGCAGAAGAAAAGAGGGAAGAGAAUCCUGUAAAAAAUUUGAAUCCUCAAUCUUGGAAAUCUACAGGCAUUCAAGAAUGCCAAACAAUUGUUUUGUCUGAUAGCAAAUCUGAGACUGCUCGCAUAUACACAAAUUGGGUGAAGAGCUUGCCUUUGUCAAAAGCCCCAGCACUGCAACUCCCCAUCAACCACACAAACAUUGUUGAAAUUGAAGAGGUCUUCUCCCGUUAUGAAGACUUUAUUAAAGUAGACACCCCAAUAUCGGAGAUAGUUUGGGACGAUGUACAGCCAAAGCAGAAACUACCAGGUCUGUUCCAGAAACGUAUAGAAUGUGUACAAGAACUUGGUGUCAUUUUGGAAGAAGGAAACCCUAGAGGUAGUGAAGUCGUUCCUACAGUUCCCAUUCCUACUUCUAAUCUGCAACCCCAACCAACAGACAAAAUCGGUUUCCUUACAUCACUUUCCUUGGCACAAAGAUGUCACAAACAUCUCUCUCCUAAAACAAAUUGUAGCUACAAGGUUAAACAAAAAGGGGUUGGACUCAAGAGAAGAUGUGUUGAAAGUCCGCAUUCAAAUUUGCCUGUCCCAAGAAAGCAAAGGAAAAUGAGGGAUGGAUUAGGUCCCUCCUUUCAACUCGUUCCUGAGGUCAACUUGACUGAUGAUGAUGUUUUUGAGCCCCCCAAUACAACUACUUCUAAAUCUUUGGAAGAAGAGAAACAUUCAAAAGGUAGCAAUCUCCAGAAGCCAACAGAACAUGGAAUUGGGAACAACAUUUGGAGGGUUGGCACAGUAAGUCUAGCCUUGUUUGGUUCCGCGCUCCAGAGGAAAAAUGGGGCUUUAACAACUGACCAACGCAAGGACCAUAAUACUUCUCGAGCAAGACCUUUUGCAGACAAUGCUCCAGCACCUCCUAUAACCCUCAGUGUGAAUGUCAACUCCUGGACCAGUCCUCCAGCGGAAAGCCCAAUCAAACAAUGGAUCUUAAACGAGUGGAAUAAUAGUUUUAUCCCGACAAAGACAAAGUCCAGGGGCAAAGUGUCAAAACUACAAAACAGAAGAGGCUUUGCUCCAAAGAUUAUUUGUGCUGAAAUGGCCAAAAAGACUGUUGCCCUCACCAACACAGAUAGAGGUGCAUUAUCCUCUGAAAGGCGAGCCAAACCAGAAAGAACUGUAAAGGCCAAGCAGACUUUGCGGCGUGUUGAAAGAGAAAGAAUCUUAAACGGCCUGAAACUCGGACCAAAGAAAUCUAGGAUUGAGGCAGUGCCAUCCAGUAUCCCUGAUCUAGUGGAACAAAGUAAAUAUGAGAUCGGAAACCCAGCUCCUUUGCCUCAUGAGCAGAACAGUCUUAUGUUUAGUGUGCUGCCGGAGUCGUUCAACUUCAAAGACGUCAUGGACCCUCCGACACAGACAGGUUCAAUGAAUGACAUGGCUGGUCCGGUUGCUGCGAAGGCUGAGAGUCCUCAGACGAUAGUCCAAAAAUCCCAAGGUGUAUGGUCUGUUGGCAUUCAGAAGAGAUAUUGUCCUCUCACCUCUUUGACCACUAAAGUUCCCAAGUCUUCCUCCACCACCUUCCAGAAGUUUCAGAAGAAAUUCAAGCAGAAGAAGUAGGCCUGGCAGCUAACCCACGACAAAUUGUAUUGUCUCCAGUUAUGGACUGGGGGAGUGGAGUGAGGACUGUCGCAUGACAAUCUGAUUCUUGUAACUUGUUUCCCAUGGAAAUAUAUGUACAAUUUUUGUUUUUAAUGACAAAUAUUCAUAACCAAUGUAUAUUCUUUGGGAAUGCAGAAAUUGACCUCAUUGUGGCAAGGUUGGGCAGCUCAUAAUACAGUUAUUAUUUACUGUAGUUAUUGUUUACAUUCUUAAGUGACUGAGAAUUUAUCUGACAGUGUCCUCUCUACCUCAGGCCUGACAGGUGUUGGUUCCACUUUUCUUGGCUCCAUUAUUUACUUAACAAAUAAGGAACACUCAAUGUGCACUUAUAAAUUAGAACAAUUUUCAUCAAAAUACAGCUGUAGACCGAAGUCAAAGAUCAAACAUCACACAUACAACUGAUGUCUCUCCUGUGUUCUGCUAAAUAGGAAAAGUCCAAGUUGCUUUUAAUAUGCUUGCAGUCAACCCCUAGUGAUGUAAAUGCCUACGUCAUUACCCUCUACUCAUGAGACCAAGCCCAUGCAUACACAGCUUUACACAUAAUGUUGAGUUCCAGUGUUUUCUAAAGGCUCAGCAGUACAUGUCCACUCCCCAAGUUGAUUUAUGGUGGUAUGUCUGACUAGUCUCUUAUCUCUUUCACUCCCCUGCAGGGUUCUGUGUCUAUGAAUCUCUUUUAUCUUUGAGGCGCUUUCUCAGACACCCUGUUUUGACUGCAAUAACUCACACAGCUCUCAGACCGUUUCUUAUAAGAAGCAGACUAUAAAAUAACUGUGGAACAAUAUUACACCUUAUAAUGCAUAUAUAUAUUGUUCAUUUGUAGUCUAGGACCCUAUAAAUGUAAGGGGGGACAGGUCUUAUAACCCUUCCCCUUCUAUUAAUACAACAUAAGCAUAACCAAUUAUUAUAAUACAUCAAACAUUUGGUGCAGCCCCUAUCAUGACCCCAUCACAGGCAACAUUGCGAAACUUCAUCUAAUUUAAAAAACCCUAAAGUUUUUUGUGUGUCAUUGGAUUGCUGUAUUUUAAUGUUUAUUUUCUUGUCAGUGUUGUCUGACAUUUUUGGGGGGUAAACAGUAUUUUAUGCAAACCUCAUGUUUACUGUAUCACAGAAUGUGAACUAUGCCAAAUUCACUGCGGUUUGUAUGAAUUUGUAAGUUAUCAUUCUGCCCACCUCUCUACCGUUCCCUUUUACAAUCUUAUAACAAGUGGGUACCUUACCAAUAGAUAUUUUUCUGGAGUUUAAACCGAUUCCGUUUGUUUACACGGGAUGAACAGUAUUGUAUGAUUUAGAGAUACUAAGCCAGCUGAAACAAGGUUCCAUUGCAGUAUUCUGGAUGCAUAUACCAGGAAACCUGUAUGUUUGUAGUAACCACUGACCUGGUGCAUUUACAUUAUAUUUUCAUAUGUUUGUUCGACCUAGUGUUAUUUCUUUAUGUUGGUGUAUGUUAUUUGUUUCUAAAUAUUUUUGUACACUUAAAAAUAUAUUGUCAGCAGCAUCCUUCACUUGGCUCUUGUUGAUUUUAUAGGGGACUAAAGUAAGACAGGCAGGGUACAUUCUUACCAGACGUGUCUGGUUAGGUGUGAAUGCUAACCCUUUUUAUGGUUAAAAGAAGGCUAUAUAGACCAUAUAAAGUGUAGUAUUGGGAUGCAAACUCAAAAUGUAAUACAUUUCUAAUCUGAAAUUCUAAAUAUCUGACAUGGUACAGGUGUAUUUUUUUAUUUUUUUUAAAGCCCAUAACCAUGUGUGUGAGGUUUGUACUUUUGUUUCAAAGUUAAUCAUCUUUAAACACCAGUCUCAACGUCAACAGUGAAGAGGCGACUCCAGGAUACUGGCCUAGGCAGAGUUGCAAAGAAAAAGCCAUAUCUCAGACUGGCCAAUAAAAAUAAAAGAUUCAGAUGGGCAAAAGAACAGACACUGGACAGAGGAACUCUGCCUAGAAGGCCAGCAUCCCGGAGUCGCCUCUUCACUGUUGACGUUGAGACUGGUGUUUUGCGGGUACUAUUUAAUGAAGCUGCCAGUUGAUGACUUGAGACGUCUGUUUCUCAAACUAGACACUCUAAUGUACUUGUCCUCUUACUCAGUUGUGCACCGGGGCCUCCACUCCUCUUUCCAUUCUGGUUAGAGCCAGUUUGCGCUGUUCUGUGAAGGGAGUAUUACACAGCGUUGUACGAGAUUUUCAGUUUCUUGGCAAUUUCUCGCAUGGACUGGUGCUGAUCUCAAAGAUAUUGAACACAUGGAAAGAUUUUUUUUUUUUUUUUACUAAGACACAUGAAAUGUACUGUAUCCAAAGUAACCAUGUGAUUUAAUAUUGCAUGUAUACUAUGUCAGAGGAGUUGGAAGAUAAUGGUGGCGGAAAGACUAAGAGGAGUAAUUGCAUUAACAUAGGGGAUGUACCCAUAUGCUGUAUGUGCAUAAAAGAAGAGCCGAUGCUCAGGGAAGUUGUUCCAUGGACCAGCUCGGCUUUGCUACUCUGUAUUAAAGUCUGUAUUAAAUUCACAAGUUCUUGCAAGAGUAUUAUAUUCUUAAGACAAUUUUCCACAACAAUGCUCACACGACACCCGAACAUUCCUUUGUUUAUGCUCCAACUGUACCAUGGUAAUGAAUUUGUCCGGAGUCGGGAAUAGACAGACUGGCUGAGAAACGCUGCCUGUCUAAAUCAUCAAUCGGCUGCUUUAAUUUUUAUGGAUAUAUACAAAGAAAUGUCGAAAAAAGGUGAAACGAAGUACCAAGGUAAAAACAGUUAAGUUGGAUAUUCAACGGAUAUUCGUGCUUUCAAACCUCAAUAGCUUUCGAGCCACAGACUCCAAAUAAGUGUCAAGAUGUUGGAAAAAUUGCACAGGUCUUAUUUUCACGAUUUGGUCAUUAAUUUGCUUUCCAAAGCUAAUAAACGUGGAAAUGUGAGCAGCAUUUUGUAUUACUAGUUGAAUUAGUAAUGGAGUGUAAACAAAGUACAAACUUUUUACAUUUGAAUUUCAAUUGCUCAUGUGACCUACAUGACACAAGGUUCAGAAUGUCCACUGACUACCCUUCUAUAUUGCACAACCUUUGAUUUGUUCAUUUUCAUCUCACAGGUUUUUACAUUCAUUUUUCAAAAUUUCUCAUUUCAAUAGCUCCUUGGUCAUGUGACCUACUGGCUUCAAAUAAGGUUCAGAAUGUCCAGUCAGUGGGCCUACACAUUUCAUACCCUUUAGUUUGUCCGUUUUUCAUCUCUCGCGUUUUUACAUGAAUUUUUCAAACUUAAAAAUGUCAAUAGCUCCUUGGUCAUGUGACCUACUGGACUCAAAUAAGGUUCAGAAUGUCCACUCAGUUGGCCUUCACAUUGCACAUCCUUUAGUUUGUCAAUUUUCAUCUCACACGUUUUUACAUACAUUUUUCUAACUUUCAAUAGCUCCUUGGUCAACCAUAAAUGAAAAUGGCAAAGUACGAGAGUCAUGUUAUUAAUUGUCCAAAGUGUUACGAACCUGCUCAAAGUUCGCAACAAAAGGGAGACAACGUGGAGACAAGGAGUAUCAAAAAUAUAUAUUUAUUAGAUACCACAACUAGCACAACCAAAAACAACAAGGUGUCUGCGUGGAGAGAGUCUCCCCAAUGACUGUGGAAGAGGUGCCUUUAUCCUGGGACACACCCGGAUCCAGGUGUUUCCCAUGUAGCUGACGACCCUUCCAACUCCGCCCACCGGCAUCCUAAUAAGGAAACAAGAACAAAGAGAGAGAAUACGGCAGACAGAGUGGGAGGGUCAUCACAAAAGCAGGGAUGGAGAGUGAGCUAGUGAGGUAGGCUGCAAUGGGUUUGCUGGUCAAUACAUAUACUGAACAUUUAACCACAGUAAUGAUGGCCAGAAAAAUCUAUGAAUAAAAAUGUAAUAUUGACAUAUUAAACAGAAAUUGUAGACCUUUAAUAUUUUCCAACAUGUCAACACUUUACUUCAAAUAAGUACAACAUAUUUCACAGUGUUAACUUUCUCUUUAUCCCUGGUUGAUGUACAUUUCAGAGCCUCUUGUGGAUGGGGUAUAGCAUACAUUUUCAACAACAAAGACAGAUCUUCCAGUUUGUGUUCUUCACUCUGAACUCGUCUUCAUUCCUAGUUACAGCACAUGGAACCACCGUUGGCAUGCAAAAUAAAGCAUAACAUGUUAUAAAUAUCAAAUAU